AGGUACAGGAACCAUGGGAAAGGUCAUUGCCGCAUCCUUCCCUCAGUUGGAAUGCAUUGUAUUUGAUCUUCCACAUGUUGUUUCUGGCUUGCAAGGAAGUGAAAACCUUAAAUAUGUUGGAGGGGACAUGUUUGAGGAGAUUCCUCCAACAGAUGCCAUUUUGUUGAAGUGGAUAUUACAUGACUGGAGCGAUGAGGAGUGUGUGAGCAUAUUGAAGAAAUGCAAGGAAG
rnacentral:sRNA from 1 species